AACGAACGCUGGCGGCGCGUCUUAAACAUGCAAGUCGAACGAUCUGUAGCAAUACAGGGAGUGGCGGACGGGUGAGGAACACGUAGGAAUCUACCUUGAAGAGCGGGACAACUUUGGGAAACCGGGGCUAAUACCGCAUAGUACAGAGAUGUUAAAGGGCUAGCAAUAGUCGCUUCGAGAUGAGCCUGCGGUCUAUCAGCUUGUUGGUGAGGUAAUGGCUCACCAAGGCUACGACGGAUAGCCGGUCUGAGAGGAUGAUCGGCCACACUGGCACUGAGACACGGGCCAGACUCCUACGGGAGGCAGCAGUUAAGAAUCUUGCGCAAUGGGGGAAACCCUGACGCAGCGACGCCGCGUGAAGGAUGAAGGCUUUCGGGUUGUAAACUUCGGUAGACUGGGAAGAAGAAAUACGUUCGUUGAGGGCGUAUAGUGACGGUACCAGUCUGAAGCCCCGGCUAAUUACGUGCCAGCAGCCGCGGUAA
rnacentral:rRNA from 1 species